GAUAGUUCCGUAGGAUCGAACGAGGUAGGAAGUAGGAUCCGGGGUGUAACCGUAGUUAUGGGGUGGAAAGGGUACGUGGGUGGAUGGGUAAGGAAGGGGUGAAAUGUUGCAGCUUAACUGUAAAAUUGCCGUUGAAACUGCCGGUCUUGAGUGCAAAUGAGGUAGGCGGAAGGCGUUGUGUAGCGGUGAAAUGCUUAGAUAUGACGCAGAACUCCGAUUGCGAAGGCAGCUUACUGGGAUGCAACUGACACUGAGGCACGAAAGCGUGGGUAUCAAACAGGAUUUGAUACCCCAGUAGUC
rnacentral:rRNA from 1 species